rnacentral:rRNA from 1 species
UGGGGAAUAUUGCACAAUGGGGGAAACCCUGAUGCAGCGACGCCGCGUGAACGAAGAAGGUAUUCGUAUCGUAAAGUUCUGUCCUAUGGGAAGAUAAUGACAGUACCAUAGAAGAAAGCUCCGGCUAAAUACGUGCCAGCAGCCGCGGUAAUACGUAUGGAGCGAGCGUUGUCCGGAAUUAUUGGGCGUAAAGGGUACGCAGGCGGUUUAAUAAGUCGAAUGUUAAAGAUCGGGGCUCAACCCCGUAAAGCAUUGGAAACUGAUAAACUUGAGUAGUGGAGAGGAAAGUGGAAUUCCUAGUGUAGUAGUGAAAUACGUAGAUAUUAGGAGAAAUACCAGUAGCGAAGGAGACUUUCUGGACACAAACAGACGCUGAGGUACGAAAGCGUGGGGAGCAAACAGG